rnacentral:rRNA from 1 species
CAAUAGCGUAUAUUAAAGUUGUUGCAGUUAAAAAGCUCGUAGUCGGAAUUUGGCAGUUCCGGAUGUGUGCACGUCGUGUGCGCACUUCGCGGGGAUUGCUUUUGUGGUCUUGCGUAGGAUGAGGCACUUUUAUUAGUGAACGUCCUCACGCAACCACUUUUUACUGUGAGAAAAUCAGAGUGCUCAAAGCAGGCAUUUGCCGUGAAUGUAUUAGCAUGGAAUAAUAGAAUAGGACUUGGUUCUAUUUUGUUGGUUUGUUGGGACUGAGUAAUGAUUAAGAGGGACAGUUGGGGGCAUUUGUAUUUCGGUGCUAGAGGUGAAAUUCUUAGAUUACCGAAAGACAAACUGCUGCGAAAGCGUCUGCCAAGGAUGUUUUCAUUGA